CACCACAAAUACUUGACGAACAGAGGCUCGGGACGACCAGGCACAUCGGCAGCUCCACCAAACUGGCUGAUUACUGACCACCACGGAGGCGGAGCACCAGGUGGAGGGUGGACUCCUUCUGGAUGUUGUAGUCGGCGAGGGUGCGUCCAUCCUCCAGCUGCUUGCCAGCGAAGAUCAGACGCUGCUGGUCUGGGGGAAUCCCCUCCUUGUCCUGGAUCUUGGCCUUCACAUUAUCAAUGGUGUCGGAGCUCUCAACCUCCAAAGUGAUGGUCUUCCCAGUCAAGGUCUUCACGAAGAUCUGCAUACCACCACGGAGACGAAGCACCAGGUGGAGGGUAGACUCCUUCUGGAUGUUGUAGUCGGCGAGGGUGCGGCCAUCCUCGAGCUGCUUGCCGGCGAAGAUGAGACGCUGCUGGUCUGGGGGGAUGCCCUCCUUGUCCUGGAUCUUGGCCUUGACGUUGUCGAUGGUGUCCGAGCUCUCAACCUCCAGGGUGAUGGUCUUGCCUGUGAGGGUCUUGACAAAGAUCUGCAUACCACCACGAAGGCGGAGCACAAGGUGGAGGGUGGACUCCUUCUGGAUGUUGUAGUCAGCAAGGGUCCUGCCAUCCUCCAGCUGCUUGCCAGCAAAGAUGAGGCGCUGCUGGUCCGGGGGAAUGCCCUCCUUGUCCUGGAUCUUGGCCUUGACAUUGUCGAUGGUAUCAGAAGACUCCACCUCGAGGGUGAUGGUCUUGCCGGUCAGAGUCUUCACGAAGAUUUGCAUGCCUCCCCUGAGACGGAGGACAAGGUGAAGCGUUGACUCCUUCUGGAUGUUGUAGUCAGCAAGGGUCCUGCCGUCCUCAAGCUGCUUGCCGGCAAAGAUGAGACGCUGCUGGUCCGGGGGAAUGCCCUCCUUGUCCUGGAUCUUGGCCUUGACGUUGUCGAUGGUGUCAGAAGAUUCCACCUCGAGGGUGAUGGUCUUGCCGGUCAGUGUCUUGACAAAGAUCUGCAUGCCACCACGGAGGCGGAGGACAAGGUGGAGGGUGGACUCCUUCUGGAUGUUGUAGUCAGCAAGGGUCCUGCCAUCCUCCAGCUGCUUGCCGGCGAAGAUGAGACGCUGCUGGUCUGGGGGGAUGCCCUCUUUGUCCUGGAUCUUGGCCUUGAC
rnacentral:lncRNA from 1 species